ACGGGGCAGCAGUGGGGAAUAUUGGGCAAUGGGCGCAAGCCUGACCCAGCAACGCCGCGUGAAGGAGGAAGGCUUUCGGGUUGUAAACUUCUUUUGUCAGGGAAGAGCAGAAGACUGUACCUGGCGAAUAAGCCACGGCUAACUACGUGCCAGCAGCCGCGGUAAUACGUAGGUGGCAAGCGUUGUCCGGAUUUACUGGGUGUAAAGGGCGUGUAGCCGGGCCGGUAAGUCAGAUGUGAAAUCCACGGGCUCAACUCGUGAACUGCAUUUGAAACUGCUGAUCUUGAGUAUCGGAGAGGCAAUCGGAAUUCCUUGUGUAGCGGUGAAAUGCGUAGAUAUAAGGAAGAACACCAGUGGCGAAGGCGGUUAGCUGGACAAUAACUGACGCUGAGGCGCGAAAGCGUGGGUAGCAAACAGGAUUAGAUACCCUGGUA
rnacentral:rRNA from 1 species